rfam:Myotis davidii contig122791, whole genome shotgun sequence.
CCGUGUGCGGCUGAUGACAGUGCUGUCCCUGAGACUCCGUGAUUGCUCAGUCUCAAAGUAAACGCCCUGACGCACCGUGA